rnacentral:rRNA from 1 species
GACGAACCGAGCAAACGUUAUUCGGAAUCACUGGGCUUAAAGGGCGCGUAGGCGGGCGUUCAAGUCUGUGGUGAAAUCCGGCAGCUCAACUGUCGAAUUGCCGCGGAUACUGGGUGUCUCGAGGGAGGUAGGGGCGCGCGGAACUAACGGUGGAGCGGUGAAAUGCGUUGAUAUCGUUAGGAACUCCGGUGGCGAAGGCGGCGCGCUGGACCUCUUCUGACGCUGAGGCGCGAAAGCCAGGGGAGCAAACGGG